GGGGUAGUAGCUCGGUGGCAGAGCACUUGCCUAACAUGCAUGAGGCACUGGGUUUGAUCCUCAGCACCACA
rnacentral:tRNA from 1 species